UUAGUUCAUAUUUGUAUGGAAUGGGAUCGUUUGCGUACGUUUGCCGCUAGGGGCGCUGUUCCAAAUGCAUACAAAAUUCGGCUA
rnacentral:pre_miRNA from 1 species